rnacentral:rRNA from 1 species
GUGUCAGCCGCCGCGGUAAUACGGAGGGGGCUAGCGUUGUUCGGAAUUACUGGGCGUAAAGCGCGCGUAGGCGGUUUGCCAAGUCAGAGGUGAAAGCCCGGGGCUUAACCUCGGAAUUGCCUUUGAGACUGGCAGGCUUGAGUACGGGAGAGGUAAGUGGAAUUCCGAGUGUAGAGGUGAAAUUCGUAGAUAUUCGGAAGAACACCAGUGGCGAAGGCGGCUUACUGGACCGUUACUGACGCUGAGGCGCGAAAGCGUGGGGAGCAAACAGGAUUAGAUACCCUGGUAGUCCACGCCGUAAACGAUGGAUGCUAGCCGUUGGACAGCAUGCUGUUCAGUGGCGCAGCUAACGCAUUAAGCAUCCCGCCUGGGGAGUACGGCCGCAAGGUUAAAACUCAAAGGAAUUGACGGGG